GGAGGUGGAGCUGUCGCCAGAAGUGAGAGGGGCCGCCACAGCCCGAGCUGUUCACAUAUUAACCAAGCUGACUGAGAGCAGCCCCUAUGGGCCCUACGCUGGACAGGUGUCGGCUGUUCGCAUUUUGAAAGCGCGAAAGGCUUACGAGCACGCGCUGCAGGACUGUUUGGGUGACAGCUGUGUCUCUGAUCCAGCUCCCACUGAUUCCUGUAGCCGCCUAAUUAGCCUGGCUAAAUGCUUCAUGCUCUUCCAGUAUUUGACCAUAGGGAUUGAUGCUGCUGUGCGGAUAUACGAACAGGUGUUUGCAAAACUGAACAGUUCUGUUUUCCCAGAAGGCUCUGGCGAGGGGGACAGUGCCAGCUCCCAGAGUUGGACCAGUGUUCUCGAAGCCAUCACACUGAUGCACACGAGCCUGCUGAGAUUCCACAUGAAAGUGAGUGUUUACCCGCUGGCCCCUCUGCGAGAGGCACUCUCACAGGCUUUAAAGUUGUAUCCAGGCAACCAGGUUCUUUGGAGGUCCUAUGUACAGAUUCAGAAUAAGUCCCACAGUGCCAGCAAGACCAGGAGAUUUUUUGACACAAUCACCAGGUCUGCCAAACCCUUGGAGCCUUGGUUGUUUGCAAUUGAAGCUGAGAAACUGAGGAAGAGACUGGUGGAAACCGUCCAGAGGUUAGACGGUAGAGAGAUCCACGCCACAAUUCCUGAGACCGGCUUAAUGCAUCGGAUCCAAGCCCUGUUUGAAAAUGCCAUGCGCAGCGACAGUGGCAGCCAGUGCCCCUUGCUGUGGAGGAUGUAUUUGAAUUUUCUGGUUUCCUUAGGAAAUAAAGAAAGAAGCAAAGGUGUAUUCUACAAAGCACUUCAGAAUUGUCCUUGGGCAAAGGUAAGUGUUAAAGGCCAUGGCGUCUUCAGCUUCCCGAAGACUUCCCGCCAGGUCUCCGUCCAGCUAGUGUCUUCCCAGCCUGCCCCGCGGCACUGGGGAUGCUCGGCUCAUGGACGCCAUACCCUGUCCCAAGGUACAUCCAGAGCCUUUUCCUGGUGAAACUGUUCCCUGUGGAGUCAGAGCCUGGCCCUGCCUGGGGCUGGUGCUUCAUGGAAGUGUUGCUGUGGGUAGCUGGUUUCCCAGCAUUUGGUCAGAGUCCAGCCCAGAUGCUGAAAGAGUUGGGAUCAUGUCCCAGCCCAGCUGUGAGAGCCCAGGUCAGGUGACACUCAGAAGUGAAACUGAGGGUGAUGGCCAGCAAUUCCUGGACCCCUUUCAAAAGAGAAGGCCUCGCUUAGCGUUUGCUCACUUUUGCGAGUUCAGUGUCCUUCCUGAACAUGCCCAGUGCUGCCCGAGUUAAGAAAGUCUGAGCCAAGGGGAGCAGGGGCUGUGGAGGGCGACAGGAGG
rnacentral:sRNA from 1 species